GCGGGCGUGGCGAAACUGGUAGACGCAACGGACUUAAAAUCCGUCGACCUAGGUCAUGCCGGUUCGACCCCGGCCGCCCGCACCA
rnacentral:tRNA from 1 species